rnacentral:rRNA from 1 species
CUACGGGGUGCUCCAGUAGGGAAUAUUGGACAAUGGGCGAAAGCCUGAUCCAGCAACACCGCGUGCACGAUGACGGCCCUCGGGUUGUAAAGUGCUUUUAGAGGAGAUGAGAAAGGACAGUAUCCUCUGAAUAAGCCUCGGCGAACUACGUGCCAGCAGCCGCGGUAAAACGUAGGAGGCAAGCGUUAUCCGGAUUUAUUGGGCGUAAAGCGCGUGCAGGCGGUCUAGCAAGUUGGAUGUGAAAGCUCCCGGCUCAACUGGGAGAGGUCGUUCAAUACUGUUAGACUAGAGAAUAGGAGAGGGAGGUGGAAUUCCGGGUGUAGUGGUGAAAUGCGUAGAUAUCCGGAGGAACACCAGUGGCGAAAGCGGCCUCCUGGACUAUUUCUGACGCUAAGACGCGAAAGCUAGGGUAGCAAACGGGAUUAGAUACCCGCGUAGUC